rnacentral:rRNA from 1 species
UGCUUAGUGGCGACCGGGUGAGUAACACGUAGUUGACCUGCCCCUCAGCGGGGGACAACAGUCCGAAAGGGCUGCUAAUACCGCAUGAGUUUACUCUGAUUAGAAAAGAGUAAAGAAACUUUCGGGGCUGAGGGAGGGGACUGCGGCCCAUCAGGUAGUUGGUGAGGUAACGGCUCACCAAGCCGACGACGGGUAGGGGGCCUGAGAGGGUGACCCCCCACACUGGGACAGACAUACGGCCCAG